CUUUGAAAGUGGGGCACGGAGGCGGCCACGGGGAGCACUUUUUUCCUUCCCGUGUGUACUCUUGACACAUUCUUUGUGGAAAACACUCAAGCUUCCCAUCCCUGGGAUUCCCGUGAUCCUGUGUUAUCAGCCACAAUUGGCCGAGUCAUCUGUGUGUCCAGCUUGGGGCACUAGUGUGGGUACCUGCCGGCUUUCCGGUUCUGCACCCAGGCUCUGAUCCUGAAGGAUGCCGUGCUGCUGUGCCCUGGGAGGCCUCGGGAAGAGACCAGUGAGCUCCUGGGGUGCUGGUAUUUGUACUCAGCCCUUGCCCCAUGAGCAGGCUGGGCUGCUAGAGUCGUCCUGGAGUGGAAUGGCAGGAUGAGCCCUCAGAUCGGAUCAGACCCAUCGUUGGAAAAGAUUCGAGACUCAAGGUCUCAAUCACCACAGGACACCUGCGGGUGGGUUCUUCCCCCCCUGGACUGGGCAUGCGUCUUUGGGAGGUUGUGCUCCCGUGGGAAAGGGUUCCUCAUGACCUGUACUGUGGCCGAGCUCCCCCAAGGUCGACUUCCAGGACUUCAGGUUUCCCUGGUUAGCCCAGGACGUCUUCAAAAAGUGGGGAAGCAGCUGUGGGGUGCAGCUCGUUGGUAGGUGGGAGACAGGGUGUGGUGCUGUAGCACAAGGAGCAAGGGCGGGCAUACAGCAGAGUGUGGAGGAGGGGCACCUUCACAGGGCGCUCAACACCAGGCUCUGGGCGUGGGUGACAAAGCUGUGGCAUGGAUUUUCAUUGCAUUGCCCCUGGCCAGGGCUUGCCUUGAGUGUCCAGGGCCCGUUGUCCUUUUUGAAGAGCCUGUGAAAGCUGUGUCAGCCGGCGGACUUCAAGCCGCUGUGCUCUCUGACGGCUCCCAGGUUUGCAGGGCAGUUAGUGAAGACCAGCUUAUACUCAGAAUCACUAUGUAUCACCAGUGCUUGUAGCAAAGGGCGAAGUACCUCGCAUGAGUGACUUAAAUACCACUUCUUUAAAAGAAGAGCCCCCUCACCUCCAAUUGGAGGGUCUACAGA
rnacentral:lncRNA from 1 species